rnacentral:rRNA from 1 species
AGGCGAAAAGAACCCCGGCGAGGGGAGUGAAAAAGAACCUGAAACCGUGUACGUACAAGCAGUGGGAGCACAGGUUUACCUGUGUGACUGCGUACCUUUUGUAUAAUGGGUCAGCGACUUAUAUUCUGUAGCAAGGUUAACCGAAUAGGGGAGCCGGAGGGAAACCGAGUCUUAAUUGGGCGUUAAGUUGCAGGGUAUAGACCCGAAACCCGGUGAUCUAGCCAUGGGCAGGUUGAAGGUUGGGUAACACUAACUGGAGGACCGAACCGACUAAUGUUGAAAAAUUAGCGGAUGACCUGUGGCUGGGGGUGAAAGGCCAAUCAAACCGGGAGAUAGCUGGUUCUCCCCGAAAGCUAUUUAGGUAGCGCCUCGUGAACUCAUCUCCGGGGGUAGAGCACUGUUUCGGCUAGGGGGCCAUCCCGGCUUACCAACCCGAUGCAAACUGCGAAUACCGGAGAAUGUUAUCACGGGAGACACACGGCGGGUGCUAACGUCCGUCGUGAAGAGGGAAACAACCCAGACCGCCAGCUAAGGUCCCAAAGUCAUGGUUAAGUGGGAAACGAUGUGGGAAGGCCCAGACAGCCAGGAUGUUGGCUUAGAAGCAGCCAUCAUUUAAAGAAAGCGUAAUAGCUCACUGGUCGAGUCGGCCUGCGCGGAAGAUGUAACGGGGCUAAACCAUGCACCGAAGCUGCGGCAGCGACACUCAGGUGUUGUUGGGUAGGGGAGCGUUCUGUAAGCCUGUGAAGGUGGCCUGUGAGGGUUGCUGGAGGUAUCAGAAGUGCGAAUGCUGACAUAAGUAACGAUAAAGCGGGUGAAAAGCCCGCUCGCCGGAAGACCAAGGGUUCCUGUCCAACGUUAAUCGGGGCAGGGUGAGUCGACCCCUAAGGCGAGGCCGAAAGGCGUAGUCGAUGGGAAACGGGUUAAUAUUCCCGUACUUGGUGUUACUGCGAAGGGGGGACGGAGAAGGCUAUGUUGGCCGGGCGACGGUUGUCCCGGUUUAAGCGUGUAGGUGUGUGUUCCAGGUAAAUCCGGUUCACUUUAACACUGAGGCGUGA